CUUCAGACCCCGGAGGACUACAGAUACGUGAUGAGCAUCAACUUGGAUUCUGCUUUCCAUCUGAGCCAGCUCGCCUACCCUCAUCUCAAGGCUUCAGGAAGAGCCAGCAUCGUGUUCAUCUCUUCUGUCGUAGGCUUCAUGGCCGUGGACUAUUUGUCCGUCUACGGAGCCUCCAAAGGUAGGUACUUCAAGAUAUGUGUGCGCUAUCAGAUUCUUUGUGAGCUCUUCAAGAUGUGCAUCACCUUCUUCUCCAGGAGCACUGAACCAGCUCACCAGGAGCCUUGCCUGUGAGUGGGCAGGGGACAACAUCCGAACAAACUGUGUUGCGCCUGGAACCAUCAGAACCCCACUCACCGAACAAGUAAUGCCUGCCCCUCUGUUUUAUCUCAAUUCCUCUCUCGACCCAUCUUGAUCUGUCUGCUUCUUUGCGUUGCUUUGAUACCUGAGACAAGAAGCGAGUAGAACACAGAGUAGCAGUUCGAUUCGAAGGUUGUGUGACACAAUACAGUUCUUUGGAUGAAAAC
rnacentral:lncRNA from 1 species